GACGAACGCUGGCGGCGUGCUUAACACAUGCAAGUCGAACGGAAAGGCCCUGCUUUUGUGGGGUGCUCGAGUGGCGAACGGGUGAGUAACACGUGAGUAACCUGCCCUUUACUUUGGGAUAACUUCAGGAAACUGGGGCUAAUACCGGAUAGGAGCUCCUGCUGCAUGGUGGGGGUUGGAAAGUUUCGGCGGUUGGGGAUGGACUCGCGGCUUAUCAGCUUGUUGGUGGGGUAGUGGCUUACCAAGGCUUUGACGGGUAGCCGGCCUGAGAGGGUGACCGGCCACAUUGGGACUGAGAUACGGCCCAGACUCCUACAGGAGGCAGCAGUGGGGAAUAUUGCACAAUGGGCGGAAGCCUGAUGCAGCAACGCCGCGUGCGGGAUGACGGCCUUCGGGUUGUAAACCGCUUUCGCCUGUGACGAAGCGUGAGUGACGGUAAUGGGUAAAGAAGCACCGGCUAACUACGUG
rnacentral:rRNA from 1 species